GAUGAACGCUGGCGGCGUGCCUAAUACAUGCAAGUCGAGCGAACGGACGAGAAGCUUGCUUCGCUGAUGUUAGCGGCGGACGGGUGAGUAACACGUGGAUAACCUACCUAUAAGACUGGGAUAACUUCGGGAAACCGUAGCUAAUACCGGAUAAUAUUUUGAACCGCAUGGUGCAAAAGUGAAAGACGGUCUUGCUGUCACUUAUAGAUGGAUCCGCGCUGCAUUAGCUAGUUGGUAAGGUAACGGCUUACCAAGGCAACGAUGCAUAGCCGACCUGAGAGGGUGAUCGCCCACACUGGAGCUGAGCCGCGGUCCGGGCUCCUGCGGGAGGCAGCAGUAGGGAAUCUUCCGCAAUGGGCGAAAGCCUGACGGAGCGGCGCCGCGUGAGUGGUGGCGGUCUUCGGAGCGUAAAGCUCUGUUAUUAGGGAAGAACAUAUGUGUAAGUAACUGUGCACAUCUUGACGGUACCUAAUCAGAAAGCCACGGCUAACUACGUG
rnacentral:rRNA from 1 species